rnacentral:tRNA from 1 species
AGGAAAUUAGGUUAAUUAGACCAAGAGCCUUCAAAGCCCUAAGUAAAUUACAAAAAUUUAUUUCCUG